rnacentral:tRNA from 1 species
GCGCGGUUGGCGUAGUGGUCUAACGCAUCACUCGAUUUGUGGGUUGAAAUCCCCGGAGAAGCUCUGUUCAAAGACCAACUCUGGGGGCAAGCUAGGUUUCAAAUACUGAGUGAAGACUCGGGUUCGAAUCCCGGACCGCGCA